UGGGGAAUAUUGCACAAUGGGGGAAACCCUGAUGCAGCGACGCCGCGUGAGCGAAGAAGGUUUUCGAAUCGUAAAGCUCUGUCCUAUGGGAAGAUAAUGACGGUAUCAUAGGAGGAAGCCCUGGCUAAAUACGUGCCAGCAGCCGCGGUAAUACGUAUGGGGCGAGCGUUGUCCGGAAUUAUUGGGCGUAAAGGGUACGUAGGCGGUUUUUUAAGUCAGGUGUCAAAGCGUGGAGCUUAACUCCAUUAAGCACUUGAAACUGAAAGACUUGAGUGAAGGAGAGGAAAGUGGAAUUCCUAGUGUGGCGGUGAAAUGCGUAGAUAUUAGGAGGAAUACCGGUGGCGAAGGCGACUUUCUGGACUUUUACUGACGCUCAGGUACGAAAGCGUGGGGAGCAAACAGG
rnacentral:rRNA from 1 species